rnacentral:rRNA from 1 species
GAUGAACGCUGGCGGUGUGCCUAAUACAUGCAAGUCGAGCGAACAGACGAGGAGCUUACUCCUCUGACGUUAGCGGCGGACGGGUGAGUAACACGUGGAUAACCUACCUAUAAGACUGGGAUAACUUCGGGAAACCGGAGCUAAUACCGGAUAACAUGUUGAACCGCAUGGUUCAACAGUGAAAGACGGUCUUGCUGUCACUUAUAGAUGGAUCCGCGUCGCAUUAGCUAGUUGGUAAGGUAACGGCUUACCAAGGCAACGAUGCGUAGCCGACCUGAGAGGGUGAUCAGCCAAACUGGAACUGAGACACGGUCCAGACUCCUACGGGAGGCAGCAGUAGGGAAUCUUCCGCAAUGGGCGAAAGCCUGACGGAGCAACGCCGCGUGAGUGAAUAAGGUCUUCGGAUCGUAAAACUCUGUUAUUAGGGAAGAACAAAUGUGUAAGUAACUAUGCACGUCUUGACGGUACCUAAUCAGAAAGCCACGGCUAACUACGUG